GAAUUAAGCUUUGAGGUUUGUUUGGUACAGUUUCUAUCGAACCGGGAAUUUGUAGAGCGUAAUGUCCAAAUGUUCCUGAAUGCAUCAAUCAAAUCUAACGUCACAUCAACGCAUCUCCGUCAAAUUCCUCUGAAGUCUUGACCGACAACAGAGCAUCCUCCUUAUCUGCAUUGUGUUUGACCAUAACGGCUGGUGACUCUAAAGUGCAAGUUCACACAUCAAUUCAGAUAUUGCUCCUGCCAGUGUUGGUGACUCCUUGGAUAUUUGACAGUGUCCUGCUAUCCAGCAUCUCUCCUCCUCUAUCCCAUUGGCUCUUUGUCUAUCCUAUACCUUGUAUCCACUCUGUCUACAAUUUGAUAACUCUAGCUUUCCUGUCAAAUCUACCGCUCUGUCUGCUUUUGGAAACUCUAUCUUUGUAUCCCUCUUCUAUCCCACUCUAUCUGUAUACAGAAGCCUGAAAACCCUGAUAUUCUGAAACCUGAACCCUGAAACCUGAACCUAAGGUUAUUGCAACCUGUCUGAACAGAACUCUGAGAGUAUCUCCACUCUCCCGCUCUCUGUCUCUCCUCUGAACACUCACUCACCCGGGUUAUUGGUACCUGAUCUACCUUUUUGAAUGAUCUGAGAGAUUCUCUUCUCUCACUCUCACCUCUGUCCUAUCAACUCCUAUAUUUAUACAAUACUAUUACUGUUUUUACUAAUUUGACAAAACAUUUGAAAUUUACUAUUAAUGAGAUUAACAAAAUUGGCCUGAACAAAGAAUUGAAAAGUUAAUUCAGAAGCGGAAAAAAACAUAAAGUACAAAUCUUUUUGUUAUAAUUGAAAAAACUACACCUUGAUCCAAAGAAUUGGCUUGUAAAAAAAAGUACUCUUUAUAAUUGAAUCAGGUAGAUUUCCUGAUACACUAUUUGCAAAAGUGCAUUGAAUUAACAUAAUUAAAGACAACUGCACUCUGAUAUAUAAUAAAAUACAUAACUAUUACAAAUCCAUAUUAGAGAAGUGUAUUUGCUCCUGAUCGCUGUUGCUGUGCACCUGUUGGUUUGUACUCAAAGAUUUGUUUUGUGAGCAAACACUGUUGUUAACUUGAUUAGUCUACGUACAAGGAAAAAUAAUCCCGCUACAUGAUUGUAUCAAUUCUACCUAAUUAAUGAAUACAUAAUUUUUUCUUAUAAACUUACAUUGUGCAUAUCAGUGUUUUGUUGUUUAUACUGAAAUAAAACACAGACGUCAACCAGGAGCAAGUGGAUUCAUCAGGAGUGGCUGUUUCCUGCUGAUCCAACGUUCUUCAGAAGCAUCCAUCUGUCAUCACACUCCUACAACAACUGCUCCUGAAUGUAAACAAUAGCCUAAUAAAGUAUUAAGAUCA